rnacentral:RNase_P_RNA from 4 species
CCUGUUCUUUAGAUGACCGCCCCGCUUCCGCGGGGAGGAACGUCCGGACAGCAAUGGAAUGCCUAGUGGGUAACGCCCACCCAUGCAACAUAUAUCCGGUAAAGUUGCAUGCGGACAAGUGCCACAGAGACGAGCAGUCCGCCCUCAGGCGGAUGAUAUGAAACGUCCCCGCAGCACUCGUGCGUGCGGGGUUGGCCCCGGGGAAUCCGGGGCAUCACGGCAAACUUCUAGGUGCUGCAAGGAGGAUUUGGGUGGUCAGAUCAAGCGAUGAUUCCGUCGCUCCGGCCACCCCUCCGCUAAUCCCCGCGAAGCCGAAAGGCGAAGUGGGGUAGAUCCGCUGAGAAUAUCCGCGGGCCAGAUAGAUGGUCAUCUCGGCGUAGUCCGCCUCGGGCGGACGAAGCCGGACAGAAUCCGGCGUACGAAGUACAGGCGUA